rnacentral:rRNA from 1 species
UACGUGGGGGGCAAGCGUUGUUCGGAAUUAUUGGGCGUAAAGGGCGCGUAGGCGGCGCGGUAAGUCACUUGUGAAAUCUCUGAGCUUAACUCAGAACGGCCAAGUGAUACUGCUGUGCUAGAGUGCAGAAGGGGCAAUCGGAAUUCUUGGUGUAGCGGUGAAAUGCGUAGAUAUCAAGAGGAACACCUGAGGUGAAGACGGGUUGCUGGGCUGACACUGACGCUGAGGCGCGAAAGCUAGGGGAGCAAACGGG